rnacentral:rRNA from 1 species
GUAGGUGGCAAGCGUUGUCCGGAAUUAUUGGGCGUAAAGCGCGCGCAGGUGGUUCUUUAAGUCUGAUGUGAAAGCCCCCGGCUCAACCGGGGAGGGUCAUUGGAAACUGGGGAACUUGAGUGCAGGAGAGGAAAGUGGAAUUCCACGUGUAGCGGUGAAAUGCGUAGAUAUGUGGAGGAACACCAGUGGCGAAGGCGACUUUCUGGCCUGUAACUGACACUGAGGCGCGAAAGCGUGGGGAGCAAACAGGGAUUAGAUACCCUGGUAGUCCACGCCGUAAACGAUGAGUGCUAAGUGUUGGGGGGGUUUCCGCCCCCUCAGUGCUGCAGCUAACGCAUUAAGCACUCCGCCUGGAGUACGGUCGCAAGACUG